rnacentral:rRNA from 1 species
GAGUUCAAAAGUACGUGAAACCGUUCAGGGGUAAACCUGAGAAACCCGAAAGGUCGAAAGGGAAGAUUCAUACGCGUCUCGGAAGCGUCGGCGUGUCGUCAACGAUCGACGACGGUGGGCGUUCGUCCGUCCGCGCCGGUCUCGACCGUCCGAUCCCGAACGCGUGCACUUCUUCCCCUGUAGGACGUCGCGACCCGUCGGGCGUCGGUCUAAGGCCCGCAAGGAAGCCCGGGUGCGUUUCUGCGCGCCCGGACCCGCGGUCGCCCGGCCGACGCGCAUAAUAACCGACGGUAAAACGAAGGCGCGGAGCCGCGACACUACAAGUUCGCGUCCGACCCGUCGCAAGCGCGCACGGUCGAACACCGAAGUCCGGACCUGGUGCCGGACCCGGGCCCGUGUGGCUGCUGGCGGCGGCGUUCUCGGACAGACUCCGAUCGCACGCCAGUCGGCGACGCUAUAGCUUUGGGUACUUUCAGGACCCGUCUUGAAACACGGACCAAGGAGUCUAGCAUGUGCGCGAGUCGUUGGGACUCUGACUAAACCCAAAGGCGCAAUGAAAGUGAAAGUCCGUCUAGCGCGGACCGAGGGAGGACGGGCGGUCCGUACGCGGUCGCUGCACUCCCGGGGCGUCUCGUUCUCAUCGCGAGAAGAGGCGCACCUAGAGCGUACACGCUGGGACCCGAAAGAUGGUGAACUAUGCCUGGUCAGGACGAAGUCAGGGGAAACCCUGAUGGAGGUCCGUAGCGAUUCUGACGUGCAAAUCGAUCGUCGGAACUGGGUAUAGGGGCGAAAGACUAAUCGAACCAUCUAGUAGCUGGUUC